AGCAAAGACUUUUUCAAAAUACAUAUUGCUCAAUUAGCACCAACAUCCGCAAGCUGACUAUUGUGUGCGUGAGAAUAUGUUAUUUUGUAUUUAUUCUGUGCUGUGCUUGCUUUACGCUGGUUUGCAGCCCACGCAUCUUCUGUCUCUGGAAAAACCUUGUUGCAAUGUUUCCUUGACAUCUGUGAUAAGGACUUUUCUUCUCGAGGUCAUCAGAGGAGCAGGUGUUUUUGUGGUUAAAUCAGUAGAGGGCCGGAGCGCUGCUCGGUGGAAGUGUGGGGGUGUCAUCUCGAAAUGCAUCCGACUGCAGUCUGCGAUGUUAGCCGGGGGGAUGCACUGCUCCAGGAACAGGUCCUCCUCAUCUUGGUCCAUGUCAAUGCUCUCUGGAGGCCAGCGCAGCUCUCCACUCUCCACCUCGCUCAACUCUGUGGGCUCAACCACAAUGGAGGGCAGACGCUCCUUCCCGUGGCCCUGGUCAGGGCUGUUCAGGGUGGUUUCCGGGGGCAGGAACACCGCCACAGGGUCGGGGAAUAUCUGAACAAAUAAAGGGGGAGAAGUGAGUGAGACCUGAGCAGAAAGAAGUUCAGGGAAGAGGAAAAUACUGCAUCUAUCUUGUUGUGAAAUCAAUUGUAUUUACCAGUUUUGACAACUCUCAUAUUGACUAAUCCCCACAUUACUCUCUCUCUCUACAGUUUGUUACAAACCUGUUCUGAUAUUAUUCUGGUGUGAUGAAUUCAACUGGAUCAAGGAUUAUUGAAUAAAAUAAUUAUCAACUAGAGUCAUGUCACAAUAUUGAUGAUGAUGAUGAUGACCCUACCUGAAAUGGCAAUCUCUGGUCCUUCCUCUGCAUGUCUUCAUCAUUUGGAUCUUGACCACUCAUGUCCUCCGUCCCUCUGAAACAAAAAACGUGAGAUAUUGGGACGAGAUGAGAAAAGAACAAUUUCCAGUCUCGGGAUGGAAUGGAACAUAUUAACAUCUUAUACCAUCCUCUUCGCUUAACAAUGAAGUCUGUCCUUAAGUCCCUUUGUGCGUCAGAACUCUAGAAAUCAGGCUUUGUUUGCUUCCUUUCUACACUAUUAUUAUUAUUAUUAUACAUAAUGAUAUUAUAAUCAUUAUUAGUAUUAUCAUUACUGUUAUUAAUAUUUUAUUUGCGGUUAAGACAGUUGAGGUAAGUGUAGGGGAUAAAAUACAGAUAAGAUUGUAGAAAUCUUGUAACCCCAUUAUUAGAACACCCUAGAGACCCCUGGGAAUUCAUGUGGAAUCUUUGCAAAAACAAUUUGUUUAAAAACCUAUAUGUAUUUGUUUUGUGUGGGUCUUAAUUUAGCAUCGUCACUCUAGGAUCAUAUGGCUCUAAACGAUCAGGCCUUUUUGCUCAUAAAAACUAUCAUUCACUACACAAAAUUGCAUUUGCACUCACAUGAAUUAUGUUUUAAACGGGACAUAUUAUGGAAAUUCCACUUUUGUAGUACUUCUACACAUUAGUUUGGGUAUCUGGCAUGUCUACCGUCCCAAAAACUCUGGAAAAAAAUCACUCCCGCGAUUUGUUGUGGUUCCUCUAUUUCAGAAACUAUGUGCUAAAGUGCGUCCAAUGGAAUUUCCCCCGAAAUAGACGUCAUAGUCGAAAAAUGCCCAUUUAGUACAUUCCCCCAUUGCUCUAUGCACUCCCCCACUACCACUCGACCCACCCCUAGAUGAACCCUCCCACUUUAUAGAAGCUCGGUCCACCGGUGUCCGCCAUUUCAUUCUUGCAAGCCUUGGAAACACUUGGAUAAGCUAACAGCAGCAUGAAUCAAUUUCGACAACCGAGAUGCUCAGUGGUCGGCUGCACAAAUCAGCACAAAUGUCUUCAUGUGACUCCAGCUUCAGAAGACACAAGAUUGAGAUGGAUUGAGUUCAUAUAUGAUGACAACGUUCCUGCCACCACUUUGAAUCGGACUGUUUUAUCAACCUGGGCCAAUAUAACAACGGAUUCUCUAAAAGGUUGUUAUUGAAAGAGGGGUCGGUGCCAUCUUUCCAUCGCAAUACUGAAGACGAGGGAAAUGCAAGCACAUCUGUUCACGGUGCUAGGCUACAUCACGUAGCAUGCCAGACGGACCCACCAAAGAUGCGCACACAUGGCACGCAGCUUUCUAUGAAAACACUGCGACCUCACUACAAAAGUACAGGCACACAGAAAACUGUGCUGCACUGAUGUCGGUGUUGGGACCUCAGCUGUAAGAGACCUCGCUUGGAGGAGGGAGAGGACAACCCAAGUUGUUGCAGUAUGGACUUCGGAGAGCCACAGGAUGCUACCUAUGAUCCUGAUGACUCGAUCACAGUCUUGACUGAGUCAGCAGAUGUGACGUGAGUGACUCAAUAUUUAAUCUAAACAUUUCAAUAAUCAGAUAGAUUACCAUCCUACACUUUUUUAGCUGUUGCAGCCUUUUGGUGAAAUCUUUGUCGUUCUAAUAGAAUGGAAUCUUCCAACCCUGUUCAUAAGACACCCACAUAUAUUGUCUAUGAAAACUGCCUCCUGGAGCUGUUUGAGGUGUGUCCUGUGUGUCGGCGGGGGACAGAUGUAAUAUAUAAGAAGGGCGAGUGCACAGCAAAGCCGGUGAAAGCAGAUGCAACCUUCCGUGAUUCUCACAGGCUCUAUUUAAAAGCCAAACAGUGUACAAACAGUAUGUGAAACAUAAAUAACAUAUCGAUUAACUGCUGUCUUUAAAUUGUCUUCACGAUUUAAAGACCAUUUAUUUAUCGUCUUCACGAUAAAUAGAAUAAAAUAAUUAUAAAAAGAAAAUAAUAAAUACAAAAAGUGCAAAAUGUCCAACUUUUCCCCUCAAUUUGUAUUACAGAUUACGUGGAUAACCUGUUGGACCUCAUCUUUCACCAGGUUUUUCAGGACCUGGCCCUAUAUGUGAAUGAGGUGCUGAAUAUCUCAAAACGUGAGGAUCUCUCUGCUAAGUAUGAGAAACCUGACAAGCAGGAAGUUAUAGCCAGCUAUGUAUCGAGUUUCAAUCAAGGGCAGGUCUGAACCCUGUAUAACUUCCCUGAGCAUCAGGGAACACUCUGCGUAUCUGGAGCACCACGCAGGAGGGCAGGACCACCCUGAUUCUCCGGCCCAGAGGGCCUCAACACCAGCUAACAAAGCUUCUCUACGACAAAUACCUGUAACGGCUGAGCAAAGUUCACAUUGUAUUUAGAGAAUAAAGGUGACACACAAAUAUAAAGUGUUCCUUUGUUUACAGUAUGGCUACUGAUGGCACAAAUUGUAUUUUUGAAAUCAAUGUUUUCAUUAUACUUGGUAUUUUUUGUUUUUAUUACCUCUGUCCCAGCCAGUACAUUUAAUAACUAUUUUUUAAAAGCUCUGUGGCAUUCUUUCUAGCAAUCUUUCUGACAAUAAAAGUUUAUAGAAA